CAAAUUCUGAGAGUUGAAGUAAUUGUAUAUAAAUAUCUUGGGUUUCAGUCAAUGUAGGCUGUAUGCUGCAAUCCCCGAUGAAGUUUAGAGAGAUAGUGGUAACAUUGAGGUGGUUGCCGUUGCAGUCAUAUCCUACCCGGCCGUAUGUUAUUUUGAUGAGGGUGGAUAGCAUCAGUGUUUGGUCUUGUGCGUAGCAUACAAGUACUUCAUAGUUCUACGGCGCGGAUCACUGUUCCUUGAACUAAAAAGUUUCUUUCAAGGUACUCCGCAUAUGAAAUGAGUGGGUGGGUCGUCACAUAGGUCCUGGUCAUCUGGAUCUAAGUUAUCGAAACAGUCUUGACAAAGAUGACCGUUAUCUAAAUGGUAGACAGAACGUAUCAACCGAACACAGAGGCAAGACUGGACAUCCUCCGUCGCUUCCAGAUCGAAUGCGGGUACAAGCCCGUCUGAGUCUUCUAUGUUAGGGUUGAUGAACUCGCCACCUGUUCUGUACAUACAUAUGAGAACAGUUAAUAUAUGUAUUUUAUAAAUUUUAUAAGUUUUGUUCGGACCUAUCCUGUAUGUGUAUAAUAUAAUAUGUUAUGGUUA